UGGGGUAUAGCCAAGUGGUAAGGCACCGGUUUUUGGUAUCGGCAUUCGCAGGUUCGAGUCCUGCUACCCCAGCCA
rnacentral:tRNA from 11 species